ACUGUUCUGCUGACGCUUAGUGGCAUUUCUGGCUGGAAGUCGACUGUGCGAGUAGAAAUUGUGCUGAAUUGAAAGGAUUUGGCUUGAUAUUGCCAGUAAAGGCAAGACUCACAUCACGUGCCUUUUCUGCGUCAACCAGGUCGCCAUGAUGAAAUACGUUGUAUUUUGCUCCACACUCUUCUCUUAGACAAGGCUUGCAACAAUGGGGAAGAUAGAGAGGAGAGAGAGAGGAACGCAGAGAUGAGAGAGAGGAAGGCAGAGA